rnacentral:misc_RNA from 1 species
AGAUAAGGAAGAUGCAUCCGCAAAGUGGAAAUGCGAAGCUCGUGCCCCCGCUGAUGACUUCUGGGGCACUGAACCCGUUGAUCGUAGAGCACACGAGUGAUUGUGUCACGUCUGGCGCCAGGGAAGUCCAAAAAGUCACAGGUUCAGGACUAACAAACUCGUACGCCGAUCAUGGGGGCGCUAGCUGUGUCGCUGAGGGAGCCUAUGUUGAUUGCAGCGCCGUUGUCCAUACUGAUAUGGCCGCCUUUUCGAUCGGCGCCUACUCUGUUGUGUGCGCCGGCGCAGUCUUGCGUCCACCAGUUCGCGUCUGUGUAAGGCAGGCCUCCGCACGCGCUGAGCCGCGUGUCCACAUCGGGUCCUUUGUGUACGUGGGAGGGCAGGUGGUUUGCGAAGCGGCAGAGGUCGGGCACAUGGUUAGACUUGAUGCGCAGUGCGUGGUGUCUACUGGAGCGCACCUUCCAGAUGGUGUGUGGCUGCUGGCUCGAACGUGGGUGCCCCCCGAGGUGACACUGUCUCCCUACACCGUGUACGCCGGCGUUCCGGCGACCCCUAUCCGAAAGCUGAAUGCGCGUUCCUAUCAGCUGCUGCACAUGGAAUUCCUGCGCAGACGACGUGAAGCUUCGUGAAAGGAUUUGCAUCACUUCUGCGCUUCCACAAAAUGCAAUUCAACUUCGAACUCUGUGCACAGAAGCCGAGCGAGCUACCCUGCACGAGCGCCGCCUAAUGUGCAAGCUGGAAAGGUCUGAUUCAGUGCGUGUCUGUGGGUGUGAAGAGGGUAUCGCUCCCCCUUUCUACUACUCGCUGGACACACCUAAGAAGCAACGCGCAACCGAAGCGAGUGCUGUAGUGCUUGCAGAAAUGUGAGGACGAUGGUGAGUUUUGAUCGGCUUUCCAUCCUACUGACAGAGGGAGCCAUUCUGGUAAUACAAAG